UACGGGAGGCAGCAGUGGGGAAUAUUGCGCAAUGGGGGAAACCCUGACGCAGCAACGCCGCGUGAGCGAUGAAGGUCUUCGGAUUGUAAAGCUCUGUCUUUAGGGACGAUAAUGACGGUACCUAAGGAGGAAGCCACGGCUAACUACGUGCCAGCAGCCGCGGUAAUACGUAGGUGGCAA
rnacentral:rRNA from 1 species